AUCAGGUACGGGCUUUCAAUUUUUAUCAUUUCGAAUGUUCAUUUUGACAUUUCUAAGUUCUAACUUGACAUUUCCUAGUUUGAACAUAAAAUAAGGAGAUGAUCGCCAAUGAAACAGCUAUUCUUCAGAUACCAAUGACGUAGAUGUUGGAAAUAAAUAGGUUGUCGUACGUCCUUCAACAAUGACCAAAACCGAUACUACAUAGCAAGCUAGAAAAUGUCCCGACAAAAUAAAACGGAAAACAAACUCAAAUGCGAAAUCCAACAACCAGGUUUAAGUACAAAAGAACCAACCCGAGACAGGUGUGUAACGUAAGAACACAAGAACACAUUAUAUAAUCAGUUAUAAAGGGCGUGACUCAUCAGAUCAAAACAAAACAAAACAAGCAACUAACAAAAACACUAUUGAAAUGGCUGAUGUUAUCCCCUAUAACUUGCGACAACUUAAAAACUUUUACUGGUUGUCCAUAAAAGGAAAUAUGUUUCAGAUCGAAAGGAAUAGACCUUUGUUUAUAAUCUUUUGUCAAUUAUAUCAAUCAAGCACAUAAUUUUUCAAAAACAAAUGUUUUUAUUAACAAUAUUCUAAAACAAAUAUACCGAGGCUAUUAUAUGUAUUUAUGGUUGUUAUAAUGUUUUUUAUGAUAUAUAGAUGUGGUACUUUAUUUAUUCAUAAAUCAUGUUUCAUUUACGUAAGAUACAAAUAUGUUUUAAGAAAAGAUAUAAGAAUGUACAUGUAAGUUAUUUUCAUGUAGGUUAGAAAAAUAAUGAUACUCCAUUAGUACACAGAUUGGACUAAAUAGAUCUCUCAGGUCCAUAAUAAGGUCGUGUUUGAUUGCAAGAAAACCAGAUAUGGUUUCAAAAUCCGGUCUUUCAAAAACUUACAAAUGCCUCCUCCAUAAAAAGUAAGAAAAACGAGUAUAUCAAAACUUUAUAGAAUAGCGACAAAUGCAUAUUAGCAACUGCUGUCGUCAUAUUUUUUUCUUUUAUAUAGUACAUUAUAUCCAAAAUGUUACAAUUUUUACAUUUUUUUAAAAAUUCCGUUUUACAUAAAAUCAACUGAUGUCUCUCGCUAAUAAAUUUACUUUUGCACAUAUAGUGUUUGCAUAUUUCAUCCGGAUCAAUGACCACAACACUACAUUUCAUUGAUGAUUUUAUCCCAAAUCACUUUUCUAAAGAUGGACUCGUCUAUAAUAAACGAACCAGUUAUAUAACGCUCAUUUUGACUCUGAUAAAUCUUGUUUAAGGGCAGGUUUCAUCGUUACCUAAAUCUGAAAAAAUCCGUAAAAUAAUUUGUUGGUUUUCAAACCAGGUUCUUUGUAAUCAAACACGGCCAAACUGUUUUGUGUAUAUGUCAAACACUCGUCGUGAACAAGUUAUGAUUUUGUAUUAGCUAUGGCUCUAGUAAUACGAAUUGAUGUUUUACAAUUUUUAUUAUUUGACCCAGGUUUCCUAUUAUUGUUAAUGAAUGUUUAAAGAAUAUAUUUAGUUUGCGUCAUGUGAACAGGUUUAAUUUAACCAUUUCAUUCAAACUCUUUAUUGUGAAUAUACAUAUUGAAGAUGAACGUAUUGUAUUCUGCAAAGGAAAUUAUGUUGUUAUUUUUUGGUUUCCC
rnacentral:lncRNA from 1 species